rnacentral:rRNA from 1 species
UACGAAGGGGGGCUAGCGUUGUUCGGAUUUACUGGGCGUAAAGCGCACGUAGGCGGAUCGAUCAGUCAGGGGUGAAAUCCCAGGGCUCAACCCUGGAACUGCCUUUGAUACUGUCGAUCUGGAGUAUGGAAGAGGUGAGUGGAAUUCCGAGUGUAGAGGUGAAAUUCGUAGAUAUUCGGAGGAACACCAGUGGCGAAGGCGGCUCACUGGUCCAUUACUGACGCUGAGGUGCGGAAGCGUGGGGAGCAAACAGG